GAGAUGGUGAGCGACAGGAAGCGGCAGCAGCGGCGGCGGGGCGAGGUUAUCUUCGUCGACGUCGACGCAAUUCUCUUCGAGCAUGUGCUCUGGAUUGUGUAUAAUGAUUGUAGACAAACUUCGGGGGCGGAUUCAUCGUAUUCUUCUAAUUUGCUUCAGCUCAAUCUCAAAGAGAUUAUAGAGUUCUAUUCUCAGGAUUCAUGAACUAUCUUCGAG
rnacentral:misc_RNA from 1 species